GCCCUGAAUCUGGGGAAAGUAGAGAUUAGAGAGUCCAGUGGCAUUUGCUUAUCCAUCCAGCACCAGGACCCCCACCUGGAUCCAUCUGACCCACCACCUCUGCCUGUAGCCAUCCGACCCCCAGCCUCUCAUCCACACAGACACUCCAUUUGGGUCAACUGACUUUUAUUAGGACAUCAGCACUACAGUGACAGGCAGGCCAGACCUGGUGCAGGAAAAUUCAGGCAGGGAGAGUUAGAUGGGCUGGGUGGUGCCCUCCCUGAAGGGGAGGGGGUGAGGCAGGCUAUGAGGAUGGGUCAAGGGUGAGCAGGAGGGUAAAGGGUGCAUCAGAAGAUGCCCUGUGAGAAGGGGAAAUUGAGGCGUCUAGAUGAGGCCAAGCUCCCUGGGGACCCCUUGGGGCUUCUAGACCUGGAUGAGGCUCCUGAAGAGCUGCUCCAGAGAGGAGCAAAAAUCAUUCAACACUCUCCAGACGGCCUCAGCCGCUAUGCGCAAGCCCUGUAGGCAGGCAGCCGCUAUCUGAUGAAGCCACUCCAGGGCUUUCUGAAACUUCUGCUGCAGUCGCCGCAGGAGCUCUUUAAAUAGCUCAAGUGUCCAGUCAUACCAAUCCCUUGAAGUGGAGGAGUCAAAGGGCUGGUUCCGGCCUGGGGGACUGUAGGAGCCAGAGGGCUCACAGACUCUGCGACGCAACUCCUGCAGUGUUUCACGAAGCAAUGGACAGGAUUCCUGCAGGGAUGGGAGGCUGUUCAGGUACAUGUCUGGGGCACUGUCCUGACCGAGCCGAGGCCUCCCAGCCUUUAGGAGACUCUGGGACCCAGAAGCCCACGAAUGAAAACUGCCUGCCUUCCUGCCAACAGCUCCACCGACAAGAGGACUUUUCCCAAAACCUGAGCCUGGUCCCUUGGGUCCCCUCGAGAAAUGAGCCCUGGUGCUUUAUUGUACCUGAAGAUGGAAUGACCUCUGAACUCAGCAUGAGGCCCCAGGGCUCACAGGCAGGGGGCUGAAGGCAGGGCUCUGCUCGCCGCGCACUGAGUGAGGAGGCUGAUGCCCCAAGGCUGCCCUCCGGAGCUCUCAGGGCCCCCCAGCCCCGCUCCGGGGAGCUCUGUGCACCUGUGGCAGGACCAAUGAGAAGACAGACCAGUGGGGAAGGGAAUCAAGAGGGGCUGAGAUGUCAGCGCAAACUCACCGAGUUGUUAACUUGAGCAUCCACGGCGUCAGCCAUAUCUGCACUGCAUAUGCUCUGAGGAAAGAAAAUGUGGAGACUGCCCACGUGGCUUGCAGCUGAGCUCUGUUGUCCCCACUGGGCCUCCCAUGGGUCCAGGAGAGUCAGAAGGAAGACAGACGUCCAGACCCAGUACCCUGGCUGAUCCCAACCCUGGGGACUCAACUUCAGGGGAAGGGCAAGACCCAAACUCACCUCCAUUAAAAUAAGAUCUGAGCAGACCUAUUGGGAAAAUAUCACUCAGUUUAAAAUUCCCCUAC
ensembl:lncRNA